rnacentral:lncRNA from 1 species
GAAGGUAGAAGGUGGGGUCUGCCGGACGCGUGUUCCUGCCACCAGGUGCCCGCUCCCCGCGAGGCCGGCUCAGGAGCAGAAGGAAGCCCGGUGCCAGCCAGCCUUCCUGAAAGACCAAGCCCGCGCCAUCCGGCUUCCUCCAGUGGACGCCUGCAGGACCCAGGAAUGUUUUUCUUGAAGGCAUCCAGCAUCUCCAGUUAGCAGUACUGAUUUUUUUUCCCGCCAACAAAGGAACACUACAUCAACACUCUUGGCGGGGACCUGGACACAGAAGACUCCUGUUUCAAGAAAAUACAAUCAUCUCUCAAAGGCUGUAAUUUAUAUGCAUUUUAAAACUCUAGGCAUUGAAAACCACCCAAGUGUCCCAAAUAGAAGGGUAAUAUAUAAUCAAUCACUCAGUGUAAUAUUAUACAUCCUUUAAAAAUGUUAUUGGGAAAUGUUUUAUGAUCUGUAAGUCCAAGGAAUCCUCUCCCACCAUUUCUUUCCCCCCCGCUGUUCCCCCAUACCCACACUUCUUUGUUCCAAUUGGCAUGUAAAUUUGGUUUUCCCGCCAAAUGAGUCAGUCAUGAUGGGAACCUCAACUGAUUUGAACAGAUGUGUGUCAAUGUUACUUGGAAAACUAGAUGUCAAUAACCAGGGUCACAGAAAAAGGCAGUGGUCACAACUCUGUAAAAAUGUAUGCAUGCACACAGACAAGGACUAAAGUGGAACCCCACACAGG